UUAUGGCUCAGGAUUAACGCUGGCGGCGUGCCUAACACAUGCAAGUCGAACGGAAUAUCUUCGGAUAUUUAGGUGGCGAACGGGUGAGUAAUGUACAGGUAAUGUACCUUCGUACUGCCGAAUAACAAGCUGAAAAGUUUGCUAAUACGGAAUAGUUUCCUUCGAGGGCAUCCUUAAAGGAAUAAAGAUUUAUCGUGCGGAGAUCAGCCUGUAUCCUAUUAGUUAGUUGGUGGGGUAAUGGCCUACCAAGACGACGAUGGGUAACUGGUCUGAGAGGAUGAGCAGUCACAUUGGAACUGAGAAACGGUCCAAACUCCUACGGGAGGCAGCAGUGAGGGAUUUUGCGCAAUGGGGGAAACCCUGACGCAGCCAACGCCGCGUGAGUGAUGACGGCCUUCGGGUUGUAAAGCGUCUGUCGUGUGUGACGAGUAGGGACGGUAACACACAAGGAAGCCUCGGCUAACUACGUGCCAGCCGCUGC
rnacentral:rRNA from 1 species